rnacentral:rRNA from 1 species
AUUGAACGCUGGCGGCAUGCCUUACACAUGCAAGUCGAACGGCAGCACGGGUGCUUGCACCUGGUGGCGAGUGGCGAACGGGUGAGUAAUACAUCGGAACAUGUCCUGUAGUGGGGGAUAGCCCGGCGAAAGCCGGAUUAAUACCGCAUACGUUCUACGGAGGAAAGCGGGGGACCUUCGGGCCUCGCGCUAUAGGGUUGGCCGAUGGCUGAUUAGCUAGUUGGUGGGGUAAAGGCCUACCAAGGCGACGAUCAGUAGCUGGUCUGAGAGGACGACCAGCCACACUGGGACUGAGACACGGCCCAGACUCCUACGGGAGGCAGCAGUGGGGAAUUUUGGACAAUGGGCGAAAGCCUGAUCCAGCAAUGCCGCGUGUGUGAAGAAGGCCUUCGGGUUGUAAAGCACUUUUGUCCGGAAAGAAAUCCUUGGCUCUAAUACAGUCGGGGGAUGACGGUACCGGAAGAAUAAGCACCGGCUAACUACGUG